AGUAAUUAAAUAGCACCAGGUGUGUCUCCAUCAUCACCUUUUACAAUUCCAGUGCUAGUAUACAUCCUCCAAUAUGUCAUCAAAAUCGAAAAAAGAUAUGGAAGAAGUAACGGAUAAAAUUUCCGACAUGUCAGUCGAGGAUCCAGGUAAAAAAUUAUCUCACAAAGAGAAGAAAAAAUUAAAAAAACAGCAGGAAUAUGAGAAAAAUUUGGAGAUGAUGACCAAAAUCGGUGGUCAGGGUCACAGUGAACUAGAUUCAAAUUUCACCGUAUCUCAAAGUGAAACACAAAACCGUGGCGCGCAAUUAUAAGAGCAUGCUGUUGACAUAAAAGUCGAAAACUUCAGUAUUGCUGCUAAAGGAAAACAAUUGUUCACUGAUGCUACUCUAUCGAUAGCUCAGGGUAGACGUUAUGGUCUCGUCGGUCCUAAUGGACAUGGAAAGACAACACUACUACGUCAUAUAGCAAAUAGAGCAUUCAAUAUACCACCAAAUAUCGAUGUACUCUAUUGUGAACAAGAAGUUGUCGCUGAUGACACACCAGCUGUUCAAGUUGUACUUAAUGCUGAUAUUAAAUGCAAAGAAUUACAAAAUGAAUGUCAGAAAUUAGAGCUACAAGCUGAAUCUAAUAGCGACGAAGCCAUCCAAGCACGAUUACAAGAGUAUUGCCGUUCGUUGGUUUUGGAUCUGCUGGAGUAACGGCUGGCUCAGUUGCAGCAGGAUGGCAAACACCAACCAUAGCCGCUGGAUCAUUAUUUGCAAAAUUACAAUCUUUGGGUGCAACUGGUGCAGGAGAUUUGCUUUUCGGGGUUUCUGGUAGUAUUAUUAAUGGAUUUGGCGCACGCUACUUUACUGCAACUGAUUGGUGUUCUUGUCCUGAAAAUAACAAUUAACCACUACACACCAGAAAAAAUUAUUAAACAUAAACUCAUUUAUUCAAUCAUGAUUAUCAGAUGCUGAUGUCAACACACCGAUAUUCUGUUCUUUAUAUUAAUAUCUCAUAUUACAUUCUUGGUAUUUAGUUUGGGAUUUUAAUUUUUUUUACUGCGCAAUUAAUUUACUAAACUAACUCAUCUACUACACUAUGCACACUUUUGAGUUAUUUUAUUAUUUAACAGUACUAUUUGCAGUGUGUUUGUCAAUUAUAUUCAAAUCAUGAGCAACAAUAUCAAAAUUAUCAAAAUCUUUGAGUUUAAUUAUGUAUGGUGUCUUUUUAAAACCUCAAUGCUACUAGAGUGCAUUAUAGAGUGAAUAGUGUUGUGUCUGUUAAAUUUAUUAUGAUCAUUAAUUGGUCUUAGGUUAAUUAAUUAUUAUUAUUAUUUUAAUUAGUUGAUGUUUUCUAUGAUCAUAAGUCAUAAAUGGUAAUAAUUAUUAAGAUUACCGAUAGGAUUUGCAUAUCCCAAAAGAACAAAUUUGUAGGCCCCUGUCUGAAAAUAUAAAUUCUGUAACAGACA